rnacentral:misc_RNA from 1 species
GUAGGUGAACCUGCGGAAGGAUCAUUAAUGAAUAAACUUGGUCGAGUUGUUGCUGGUCCUUCGGGGCAUGUGCACGCUUGCCACUUUUAUAACCACCUGUGCACCUUUUGUAGACUAGAAAUGUUCUCGAGGCAACUCGGAUUGAGGACUGCUGUGCGCAAGCCAGCUGUUCUUGUGUUUCUCAGUCUAUGUUUUUCAUAUACUCCAAAUGUAUGUAUCUGAAUGUAUAGCUAGGCCUCAGUGCCUUUAAAACAAAUACAACUUUCAACAACGGAUCUCUUGGCUCUC